GACGGACGCUGGCGGCGUGCCUAAUACAUGCAAGUCGAGCGCAGGAAACUGACGGAACUCUUCGGAGGGAAGGCAGUGGAAUGAGCGGCGGACGGGUGAGUAACACGUAAGGAACCUGCCUCAAGGAUUGGGAUAACUCCGAGAAAUCGGAGCUAAUACCGGAUAGUUCAACGGACCGCAUGGUCCGCUGAUGAAAGGCGCUUCGGCGUCACCUUGAGAUGGCCCUGCGGUGCAUUAGCUAGUUGGUGGGGUAACGGCCCACCAAGGCGACGAUGCAUAGCCGACCUGAGAGGGUGAGCGGCCACACUGGGACUGAGACAAGGCCCAGACUCCUACGGGAGGCAGCAGUAGGGAAUCUUCCACAAUGGACGAAAGUCUGAUGGAGCAACGCCGCGUGAGUGAUGAAGGUUUUCGGAUCGUAAAACUCUGUUGUAAGGGAAGAACACGUACGAGAGGAAAUGCUCGUACCUUGACGGUACCUUACGAGAAAGCCACGGCUAACUACGUGCCAGCCGCCGCCGUAA
rnacentral:rRNA from 1 species